GACGAACGCUGGCGGCGCGCUUAACACAUGCAAGUCGAACGGAAAGGCCUGCUUUCCCUUGUGGAUUGCGGGUACUCGAGUGGCGAACGGGUGAGUAACACGUGAGUGAUCUGCCCCCAACUUGGGUAUAAGCCUGGGAAACUGGGUCUAAUUCCCGAUAGGACUGCAGGGUGGUGCCUGUGGUGGAAAACGAUUUUCUAGUGGCUGGGGAUGAGCUCGCGGCCUAUCAGCUUGUUGGUGGGGUAAUGGCCUACCAAGGCGGCGACGGGUAGCCGGCCUGAGAGGGUGGACGGCCACAUUGGGACUGAGAUACGGCCCAGACUCCUACGGGAGGCAGCAGUGGGGAAUAUUGCACAAUGGGCGGAAGCCUGAUGCAGCGACGCCGCGUGGGGGAUGACGGCCUUCGGGUUGUAAACUCCUUUCGACCGCAAGGAAGCCACCUGGUUGGAAGGGUGGUGACGGUAGUGGUAGAAGAAGCACCGGCUAACUACGUG
rnacentral:rRNA from 1 species